UGUGUGGAUCCCAGCUGCUCCCUGCCCCCCUCAUUGAAUCAGAAUUGGAUGAAGAUUCACACCAAAAAAUUGUAACAGAUAUGAACCUCUCAGAAACUGCACCCUACAGAUGAUUUUACCAAAAGUUCCUGCUUUGGAUUAAGGUGGUUCACGCCAACUAAUGAGGUCCCUCUCUGUGGUUAUGCUACAGUGGCAUCAGCUGCUGUUAUUCCAUAUAAAAAUGUGGCGAGCUCAGCAGAACAAGUGACCAUACAGUCCCAGAAUUGCAUAUGAGCUCCAGCAUGGAGCGAACAAAAGACAUGGAUCUGAUUGCUGUAUGAGGAGAAGAAUCUGUGCAGGCAGA